AUUGAACGCUGGCGGCAGGCCUAACACAUGCAAGUCGAGCGGAUGAAGGGAGCUUGCUCCUGGAUUCAGCGGCGGACGGGUGAGUAAUGCCUAGGAAUCUGCCUGGUAGUGGGGGAUAACGUCCGGACACGGGCGCUAAUACCGCAUACGUCCUGAGGGAGAAAGUGGGGGAUCUUCGGACCUCACGCUAUCAGAUGAGCCUAGGUCGGAUUAGCUAGUUGGUGGGGUAAAGGCCUACCAAGGCGACGAUCCGUAACUGGUCUGAGAGGAUGAUCAGUCACACUGGAACUGAGACACGGUCCAGACUCCUACGGGAGGCAGCAGUGGGGAAUAUUGGACAAUGGGCGAAAGCCUGAUCCAGCCAUGCCGCGUGUGUGAAGAAGGUCUUCGGAUUGUAAAGCACUUUAAGUUGGGAGGAAGGGCAGUAAGUUAAUACCUUGCUGUUUUGACGUUACCAAAAGAAUAAGCACCGGCUAACUUCGUG
rnacentral:rRNA from 1 species